CUUGUCAGGUAUUCAGAUUCCAACUGGAUAAUUUUGGCUCUGUUACGAGGGACAAGCCAAUUUGGUUGCUUAGAGUAACUUCAAAGAGAAGGUUAUGAAGAUGAUGGAAACAGAAUCUUCAAGUUCAGGACUCUACAUCUUAGGAGACUCAACAACCUUCGUGAUUGAACUAAAGCACCAUUAACGAGACUCGGGUUCAGGAUAUUGUUGUUAUCCAACACCUGAUGAUCGUCACGGACAUGGUAUGACUUCUGACUAGCAUAUUAUUUUGAUAUCUGUUUGCUAGAGUCAUAUUUGGUAUCCAAAUUAUUACCUCUCAUGAUACAAGGCACACACAAUACAACUAUCUGUGCUGUGAUACCAUGAUUAUAUUAUAUGUGGACUAACGUCACUUG
rnacentral:lncRNA from 1 species